rnacentral:rRNA from 1 species
CCUACGGGUGGCUGCAGUGGGGAAUAUUGGACAAUGGGCGAAAGCCUGAUCCAGCCAUGCCGCGUGUGUGAAGAAUGCCUUCGGGUUGUAAAGCACUUUCAGUGGGGAAAAAGCCUUGGGGCUAAUACCCUCGAGGAAGGACAUCACCCACAGAAGAAGCACCGGCUAACUCCGUGCCAGCAGCCGCGGUAAUACGGAGGGUGUGAGCGUUAAUCGGAAUUACUGGGCGUAAAGCGCGCGUAGGCGGUCUGAUAAGCCGGUUGUGAAAGCCCCGGGCUCAACCUGGGAACGGCAUCCGGAACUGUCAGGCUAGAGUGCAGGAGAGGAAGGUAGAAUUCCCGGUGUAGCGGUGAAAUGCGUAGAGAUCGGGAGGAAUACCAGUGGCGAAGGCGGCCUUCUGGACUGACACUGACGCUGAGGUGCGAAAGCGUGGGUAGCAAACAGGAUUAGAUACCCGUGUAGUC